AACCGUAGAGUCUGAUCCUGGCUCAGAUUGAACGCUGGCGGCAGGCCUAACACAUGCAAGUCGAGCGGAAACGAUGGAAGCUUGCUUCCAGGCGUCGAGCGGCGGACGGGUGAGUAAUGCAUAGGAAUCUGCCCGAUAGUGGGGGAUAACGUGGGGAAACUCACGCUAAUACCGCAUACGUCCUACGGGAGAAAGCAGGGGAUCUUCGGACCUUGCGCUAUCGGAUGAGCCUAUGUCGGAUUAGCUAGUUGGUGAGGUAACGGCUCACCAAGGCGACGAUCCGUAGCUGGUCUGAGAGGAUGAUCAGCCACACUGGGACUGAGACACGGCCCAGACUCCUACGGGAGGCAGCAGUGGGGAAUAUUGGACAAUGGGGGAAACCCUGAUCCAGCCAUGCCGCGUGUGUGAAGAAGGCCUUCGGGUUGUAAAGCACUUUCAGCGAGGAAGAAGGCCUGAGGGCUAAUACCCUUCAGGAAGGACAUCACUCGCAGAAGAAGCACCGGCUAACUCCGUGCCAGCAGCCGCGGUAAUACGGAGGGUGCGAGCGUUAAUCGGAAUUACUGGGCGUAAAGCGCGCGUAGGUGGCUUGAUAAGCCGGUUGUGAAAGCCCCGGGCUCAACCUGGGAACGGCAUCCGGAACUGUCAGGCUAGAGUGCAGGAGAGGAAGGUAGAAUUCCCGGUGUAGCGGUGAAAUGCGUAGAGAUCGGGAGGAAUACCAGUGGCGAAGGCGGCCUUCUGGACUGACACUGACACUGAGGUGCGAAAGCGUGGGUAGCAAACAGGAUUAGAUACCCUGGUAGUCCACGCCGUAAACGAUGUCGACUAGCCGUUGGGUUCCUUGAGAACUUUGUGGCGCAGUUAACGCGAUAAGUCGACMGMCUGGGGAGUACGGCCGCAAGGUUAAAACUCAAAUGAAUUGACGGGGGCCCGCACAAGCGGUGGAGCAUGUGGUUUAAUUCGAUGCAACGCGAAGAACCUUACCUACCCUUGACAUCGUGCGAACUUGGUAGAGAUACCUUGGUGCCUUCGGGAACGCACAGACAGGUGCUGCAUGGCUGUCGUCAGCUCGUGUUGUGAAAUGUUGGGUUAAGUCCCGUAACGAGCGCAACCCUUGUCCCUAUUUGCCAGCGAUUCGGUCGGGAACUCUAGGGAGACUGCCGGUGACAAACCGGAGGAAGGUGGGGACGACGUCAAGUCAUCAUGGCCCUUACGGGUAGGGCUACACACGUGCUACAAUGGUCGGUACAAAGGGUUGCAAUGCCGCGAGGUGGAGCUAAUCCCAUAAAGCCGGUCUCAGUCCGGAUCGGAGUCUGCAACUCGACUCCGUGAAGUCGGAAUCGCUAGUAAUCGUGAAUCAGAAUGUCACGGUGAAUACGUUCCCGGGCCUUGUACACACCGCCCGUCACACCAUGGGAGUGGACUGCACCAGAAGUGGUUAGCUUAACCUUCGGGGGAGCGAUCACCACGGUGUGGUUCAUGACUGGGGUGAAGUCGUAACAAGGUAACCGUAGGGUGUGAUGGGGGCUCGGUAGGUGGGGGGAGGGGGGCGGUGGGGGGGGGGGGGGGGC
rnacentral:rRNA from 1 species